rnacentral:lncRNA from 1 species
GUGUAUGAUCCAGAUAUCACCGAGCACCUAAGUAUAAAUUAGCCUUACAACUUCCUAACAGAAACUUAAUGACUUCAACUUAAGUUGCAUACUGACCUAGGAUUUGGGCUGACUUAGUAAUUAAAACUUUGUGUGCUUUUGAAAUUCUUGACAUUAAGGCAUUUGAAAUUAGAUUUUAUAAAACAAUAAAAUAAAUUCUUUCGACAAUAGUUUGUGGGUAUUUGAGCCGGAAACCCUCACGAGACAAAACUCGUCCACUAGGGCCACCUAGGGGUUUAAAGCCUUAUUGCAUACGGUAAAUGCAAUCGCGAUUCCUGCGAAAGUGAGUUAGUUUUUUUUUUAUUAUUUUGCUCGAGGACUAGCAAAAUGUAGGUUGGGGGUGUGAUAAGUGCUAAAUAAUACAUAAAUUAUCCUCUUUUUCAUAGCACUUACCAUUAUUUUAAUUCACAUAUUUUAUAAAUUUAACCAAAAAAAUGUGUUACCUUCAU